GACAGAGGAUGCAAGCGUUAUCCGGAAUGAUUGGGCGUAAAGCGUCUGUAGGUGGCUUUUUAAGUCCGCCGUCAAAUCCCAGGGCUCAACCCUGGACAGGCGGUGGAAACUACCAAGCUGGAGUACGGUAGGGGCAGAGGGAAUUUCCGGUGGAGCGGUGAAAUGCGUAGAGAUCGGGAAAGAACACCAAAGGCGAAAGCACUUUGCUGGGCCGAAACUGACACUGAUAGACGAAAGCUAGGGGAGCAAAUGGG
rnacentral:rRNA from 1 species